ACUCAAUAUUGACAAGUACUUGGCUCCUUACAGUACUUAUCUCUCACCCGCCUUGAUAUCUCAUUUGCGGUCAAUAAAUUAUCAUAAUUCAUGCAUCAACCAUCUACUAUACAUUGGUCUGCAGUUAAAAGAAUCUUACGAUAUCUUCACGGGACUCUCAAUCAUGGCCUCUUCUUCCGCAAACACUCUCCCCUUCAUCUCCAUGCUUUUGUUGAUGUUGAUUGGGCAAGGAAUUUUGAUGACAGAACAUCCAUAUUUGUAACACCCCUCAAUUCCGAAUGUUCGUAUAAAUUUUUGGUGAUAAUGUAAGCAUCUAUUUUAAUUGACAAAAGAAAUAGAGUAUGAAUCAGAGGUAACUUAUUUUUAAGAUUUGGGAGAUCUGUUCAAAAAAAAAAAAAAAAAAAAAAAAGAAAGAAUCUGAGGACCUAUAUGUAAACCCUAAGGACCUAAUCGUGAAUAUGAUAAAAACAAGGACUAAACUGCAAAAUGCACCAAAUGACAAAUUCCACCGCUUAAGCCUCUCUGCCUUCGUUGUUAAGGAAGCAGAGGAGGCAGCUCGUGGGUGAUCAGGGAAAGAAAAGAAGAAGAAGAAGAAGAAGAAGAAGAAGGAGAAGAGAAAGAAAAUUUGGGGCUUUUAGGGUUUUUGCUUUAAUCUUGUUACUUCGGGUCAAAAUUUGCAAAGGAUAGCGUAACUCUUGCUUAAAUGUUAAGAAUGGGCUGAGGCAGCGGAAAGUUUAGAAGACGUUGGGCAGAACUUUUGUUAGCAUAUAUGUAGUUGUGUAUAAGCUACCUUGCAUCUAAUGAAAUGUGACUAUGAAUCUAAACCUGUGGAUUUUGUGUAAGUUAAAGGAUCCCUCAUGCAUAGGGUUUUGGAAUGUUAAAUUAAAUUCGUGUAAUGAUAUGAACUUAUGGUAAAUCGAUGAUUGUGGUGACUGCAUAGAUUUCCCCACUUGUGGAUUUA